AAAAAGGAUGCGAUUUUCUUUUUGAUAAAAUAAAUAAUAUAGCGACUUUUCUUUUGUAUCGUUAACAAUUAAAAAAUAAACAGCACCCAUCUUUAUUUUUUAGUAAUUCACCUUGUGACUUGCUCAUUUUGCUGUGAAUGUUGACUUUGAGGUAAAACGAAGAAGAAAGUAAAAAUUAGGGUUUUCCAUCCUGAUCGAUUUCUAACUUUUCUCUUUUGAUUCGUGGUGAAAAUGCUGCAAUUCAUGGCUUCCCACAUCGGUGGCUAUUGAAAGCCGUUUAUGUUUUAUAUAGUCUUGCCUCGCAUCAUACAUCGUCCCUUCGGGGACAUCCGAUAAAAUUGGAACGAUACAGAGAAGAUUAGCAUGGCCCCUGCGCAAGGAUGACACGCACAAAUCGAGAAAUGGUCCAAAUUUUUUUUUGCCCUAAUUCGCUCGAUCGAUCGCUGCAGAUUCGCCGGCGUAUUUCACUAGUUUUUUAAUUCAAUAGCUCCAGAAAGUUUGGAUGCACUGCUUGUUGUCCUGCAAAUUAUAAAGCUAAAAUGAUGAUGAGAUGUAUUACUUCAUCAGAACUCAAACUAGCUGACUUGUUGAACUUUUAUUAUUAUAAUAGACUGUGGCUAUUGGUGGAAUUUGUUUUUGUAACACCAUAAGAUGCAUCAUUUCUUGCCAUAUGGACAAGAAUUCCAUCCAUUUAAACCUCAAAUUUGUACCUAAAAGUUCUCAAAUUGAGUCUCUGAUCUGAAAUUGCUAUUCUGCUUCAAGCUUUGUUGUUGGCUUGUUGCUUCAGCAUUGCUUGUUUGAUGUUCCUGGGUCCCAGUUGAUUGAUUAUUGGUCUCUGUCUUAAUGAAGAGGGAGACCCUAAUUGGUUGACUGUUUGUUUGACCUGUAUUUGUGUUGGUAAUAAGUCUUACUACUAGGGGUACUUUGGUCUA